UACGGAGGAUGCAAGCGUUAUCCGGAAUGAUUGGGCGUAAAGCGUCCGCAGGUGGCAUUUCAAGUCUGCGGUCAAAGGUCGAGGCUCAACCUCGAAUCGGCCGUGGAAACUGAGAAGCUAGAGUGUGGUAGGGGCAGAGGGAAUUCCCAGUGUAGCGGUGAAAUGCGUAGAGAUUGGGAAGAACACCGGUGGCGAAAGCGCUCUGCUAGGCCAAGACUGACACUGAGGGACGAAAGCUAGGGGAGCGAAUGGG
rnacentral:rRNA from 1 species